GACGAGGGGGCUAGGUGUUAUUCGGCAUAAUUGGGCGUAAGGGCAAGUGUAGGCUGCAAUUUAAGUUUUAUGUUAAAAUCCAAAGCUUAACUUUGGUAAACAGCAUCAAAUACUGAAUUUGCUUUGAGUUAUACUAAGGAUUGUAGAAUUUUUGGAGUAUAUAAAGCUGAUAAAAUGGUGAUACUCAAAAGAAUACCGAAGGCAGAAAGCAAGCAAUCAUAGUAUAUAC
rnacentral:rRNA from 1 species